AUUUGAGUUUACUUCUGGGUUCUCUAUUAUGUUUCAUUGGUCUAUGUGCUUAUUUUUAUACCAGUAUUAUGCUGUUUUGCUGACUAUGGGUUUGUAGUAUAGAUUGAAGUCAGGUAAUGUAAUGCCUCCAGAUUUGUUCUUUCUGCUUAGUCUUGCUUUGGCUAUGUGGGCUCGUUUUUUUUUUCCCAUAUGAAUUUUAGAAUUAUCAGGAGCCACCAGGUGCUGCAGCAGCUUUGGGAUAACUUGAGGGCGCAUCCUGGGGAAGAAACACCUCCUGUCCAUGGUGCUGACUGCUGAGGACAGUGCUUCGGCGUGGCUUCUCCGUGGCCCAGCUUCUUUGGGGCGUUUUUCUUUCAUGGUUCAUCCAUAUGGCUCCAAAUGAAAAUUACAUUAAUUAUGGAUGAAGAGUAUUGUGUUGUGCAGAUAUACUGCAGUUUCUUCAUCCCUUCAUCUAUGGAUGGACAGGUUCCACAGUGUUGCCACGGAUGACCUGAUUUCAGUACCCAUGUCUGGCUGAAGAGUAUCUGGUUGUGACUGGAUACUGCAGUUUCUGGAUCUCAUCCUCUGUGGGUGGACAGGUUUCUCCAUCUUGCUGGUAGUGAACUGAUGUCCGGAAGUUUGAUGGCCGAAGAGUAUACCGUUGUGCAUAUAUCCUUCAAUUCCUGAUUUUAUCAUCUGUAGAAAGACAAAAAUCUUCAGACUGAUUUCCACAGUUUGAGAUCUAGUUUGCAUUACCUCCAAGAGAAUAGCCAUGUUUGCUUUUCUCUGCUGCCACACCAGCAUGUUAUGUUUUGACUUAGGACAAAUGGCCACUCUGACCAGCGUGUGAUGGCACCGGUACCUCAUCUCUGAUGAUUGGUGAUGUUGAGCAUUCCCCAUGCCUGUUGGAAUGGCAAUCCCUUGGAAAUGUCUUCUCAAUAGUUACUACCCAUAGAGAACAGACCCUCCCAGUCUUCAGUGCACUCUAAAUACUGGCUAAUUCUGGCCAAUGGAAGGCAUCUGUGGAAGAAAAAAGCCUCAGAUCAUGUGCUGUCUGUCUUUAUUCAGUGUGACAUAUUAGGUAAUGGUCACAGACACUCACCAUGGCCCCAGUUUUUAAUAACAUGACCCUGCUUUUGUGUUCCAGUAACUUCUGUUGUUUUCCCAAUCCUAAGUAUGAUAGAAACUUCCUGCUGCUGCUAAUCUCUGGGUUCCAUUUAAAAUCCUUCCAUCACAUGAAUACUAUGCUGUGUUCUAAAUUUUUCCAUAAUUAAAUACUUACAAUUA
rnacentral:lncRNA from 1 species